rfam:Dipodomys ordii contig_14483, whole genome shotgun sequence.
UGGGAUGUGGCUCAGUGGUAGAGCGCUUGCUUAGCAUGCCUGAAGCCCUGGGUUCGAUUCCUUAGUAUCACAU